CUGCUGCAGCAGCAGCAGCAGCAGCAGCUGCUGCUGCUGCUGCAGUUGCUGCUGCUGCAGUUACUGCUGCUGCAGCUGCUGCUGCUGCAGUUGCUGCUGCUGCAGCUGCUUCUGCUGCAGUUGCUGCUGCUGCAGCUGCUGCUGCUGCAGUUGCUGCUGCUGCAGCUGCUUCUGCUGCAGUUGCUGCUGCUGCAGUUGCUGCUGCUGCAGCUGCUUCUGCUGCAGUUGCUGCUGCUGCAGCUGCUGCUGCUGUCUUAAUUG
rnacentral:sRNA from 1 species